CGGGUGCGUGGAAGGAAUCCCCAGGCCGCCGGGCGUGCAGCCGCAUCUUCUCCGCUCUCCAACAACAUCGACCCUCACUCAAAGAGAAAAACAAAGCAAGCAGGGGAAACAGAAACACUCUUCUAGAGUUUUAUUAAUCUGAAGGGUUUGCUUGCUUUCAUUUGAUUUGGUAGAAUCCCAUCCUUACCCUUCUCUGAAAUGGGGGGCUCCCCCCCCAUAAGAACGCCUUUCCCCAUGUUUGACAAAAGACUAUUUACUGCUCUGGCUGUAUCACUUGAGACCUCUGAGACGUUUACAGUAGCCAAUAUAAAUCUAGCCUAUCACCUCUCCCCCCCGCCGUCCUUCAACGGUACAUCCCACGCCGUCUCACGCCCCCCCCCCCACUACUCCUCCACUAACCGUCCUUCUUAACCACCACCAGAUAGUUCCCCACCAGCAGCAUUCCCUGACAAGGCGGUACCAUUUCGGGGCGGGGAGUAUCAGGAAUUUUGUUCCUGUUCAAGCACUUGUUAGUCAAACUGAGCGACAAAAGCCUUAUAACGUGACACUCUGAAGAGAUUAAAACACCAAAAUUGCUUUUCGGGAGACUACCAUUGAUCGAAAAACAUCUGAGUCUCCAUUCUUUAUCAAAAUGCAAAGUGGGUUCGCCCAGGCAGCUUUAUCAACCGCAAAAUGGUGGGGCGAGAUCAUUCAUUUUUUAAAAAAAGUUUGUGAUAUAUUAUCGACGAACAUAACAUUCUUUGAAGUCGAGUUAAGUAAAAAAAAACCAAAAAACCACCACGCUCUAUUUAUCGCAAAGAAUUCAAGGGGGAUUUUUCAAUUAUAGACGUGAAAAAAAUCUAAAUUAUGACUCUCCAGAGGUUGAAAUGGUUUGAUCCACCAAGUGAGCCAGGAGUCGUUGGACACUACCAAAGAACACGUGAUGUGGAGAUGGCUGGGUGGGGGGACUGCAAGCCUGUGGCUUAGAAUUUGUGUUCCUUGUUUUUAAGUGUUCGUUCCAUUCUGAAGCUUUGUCAGUGAUCAAAGAGGAAUAUUGUAGGGACACAUAGGAUAGGAAUGUCCCAAUGGCAUAGUUCGUAAUGAUGUCAUCAACCCCAAUUCAAAAUGUCAGACGCAUGAAAAUUUGGGGUGCAAGUGGGCUAACUUAUGAACCACCUAAUUUAUAUGAACCAAAUUUGGAACAAUUGUAAGUUUACAUAGGGACACCUCAAUGGCGUAGUUUGUGAUGAUGUCAUCCACCCCAAUUCAAGGUGGUGGACGUGUGACUGUUUGAGGAGCAAGUGGGCUAGCUUAUGAACUGCCUAACCAAUUUGGACCAAAUUUAGUCCAGUUGUAGGAAUAGUGAAAGGGACCUAGGCAACUUAGUUCUUACAAGAACUGUUUGUUUACAUAUGUACUUUUGUAUAUAACAAAGUACCUGCCUCAGGUGGAUUUUCCUUUACUCAUUUUCUUCUUUUCAUCACCAAAUGAAUCAUAGUGGUGAUUUGGUUUUUAGACCAGAUUUUAACAAAAGGGUAGUUUGAGGGCUUUGUUUCGUUUGCUUUUUUAAUCAUUUUAAAGAUCUUAAGAUUAUUAUUUUUAAAAGUUGAAAUAAAUGUGCCCAUUUUCUCAAUCUAUGACCAGGUUUACUGGAGUGCAUAUGUUUAGAAUUUGAAAACUUUAUCUCACAAAUCUGCUAAUGUCCUCUGAAUGUUUGAAUUCUGUAACUCUUAUUAUUUUGGGAGUGUGAAUUGACUGGUCAUGAUCAAAACAUGAAUGAGAAACAUUAUAUUUUCUGUUAGGAGACCCUAGCUCGAUUUUUGCUGGUCGUGUAAACCACCGGGUUUGCAGGCGGGCCCAGUGGUUUACAAGUGGGUAACCUGCUUGCAAAGCCCUUCCCUUAGCCCAGGUUAGCGGAGCAAGUGUUUCACUAACCGGGGUUUCUGGAUCGUGUUUUGUUGUGGUGCAGCUCCGCUCGGGAGGUUAAAAAGCAGUCUCCUAGCUCGGGGGUCUUCAGCAUGCUCUGUGCGCUCGCACAGAGCAUGCCGGAACUUCCGGGGACGCACGGCCCCCUAACUCCCAAGCCCCUUCUGGCUCUGUGAUGGAGCCAGCAGUCGUGUGAGCGGCCUCCAGAUGCCCAGGGCUGCAGCAGGGAUCGUCUGCGGGGAGAGAGGGCUUAGCCCACUCUCCCCGCUAACCCCGUUAUGGCGGGUCUCAACAAUCGUGAGACCCACCUCUCUGUUUAUUUUCAUUUCACAGAAAUUGGUCAAUCCUGUGAUUUUUAAUGGUUUUUUUCCACUGCUGACAUAAAGCUGCCAGAAAGAAUUAUCUCUCUCCAUAGAGAACCUCACACCUAGCAAAAUUAGAACUAACUGCUACAUCUGAAUAAACAAACAACAUUUUUUUUUACAAAUGCACUAUGCUCAAGUUGGUUUGUGAUACAAUAAAUGCACUAUACAUCCAA